GCGCCCGAGCCGCCGCCUGGCGCGGGCCAGGGUGCUCGCGACGCGACGAAUCGUCCACGUCGGCCCCUCACCGAUCUGUGCCGGAUUUUGCAUCGCCAUGCCGCCGUCUUCAUCGACCUCUCACAGUCUCACUGCAUACUGUUAUGGGCGGCCGGCGAACAAACCCACCUACUGUCAUAUCCGUCUCAAGAUUGAACGCACCUCACCUAUCCUUCGUUUCACAGCCCUGCGCGGCUACAUUGACGACCGAGCGAGCAAGCAGACGUGUAAUGCGAAACAUCUGAUGUGCAGUUCAGGACCAAAUCCACCAGGACCGAUUGAUGGAGUUCAGAGUCACUGAAUCCACCGGUAUUGGUCUUUGUUCAAAGCAAAGAGAGGGCAAAAGAGCUCUACAGAGAGCUGGUAUAUGACGACAUUAGAGUUGAUGUAAUCCAUGGAGACCUUACUGAAGAGCAGCGUCAAGAUGCUGUUGACAACUUGAGAGCUGGAAAAAGCUGGGUGCUAAUAGCAACAGAGGUUCUUGCGCGGGGAAUGGAUUUCAAAGGUGUCAAGUGUGUAAUCAACUAUGAUUUCCCUGAGUCCGCGUCUGCCUACAUUCACAGAAUAGGACAGUCCGGAAGAGCAGGCAGAUCGGGGGAGGCGAUCACGUUCUUCACGGAGGAGGACAAGCCGUUCCUGUGGACCAUCGCCAACAUACUGGUAUCUUCGGGCUGCGAGGUUCCUUCCUGGAUGGUGGCGUUGCCCAAGCUCAAGAGCAGGAAGCACAGGGUGGACAGGUACCGCAUCUCCUUUUUAACCGAUGAAGAUUGAGAGUGAUAUUGUGUAACUGUAACAAUUUUGUAGAGAUGACACGUUUGGCCUCACUUUUCCCUGUUUGAAUGCCUGGUGCGUGUAUCAUUCAGCUUUCCUGACUAAAACCUGAUAUGGGCAUAUGCAUCCGAGCAUAUCUUUUAUG